AGCGUCUCCGCAGGCCAGCGACUCUGGAAUCAUUUACCACAGAAUCUGACUGUCAACUCUUUGUCAUAAGAAGAUGCAGAUCUUCUCUAUGUGAGAUGCUAAGAGGUACCCAGACGGUGCCUAGCAUUGUUCUUAGAAGAGCAAGAACCUGUGCAAAGGAAAUUGACAGCAAUGGAGUUAAAGUCACACGGGGAUGUUUGUUUUUCUUCCUGGAAGCUGCACAGUGUAUGAUAAAAAUGCUGUAGAUCUCUCAGAAAUGCUACUGAAGAAGGCAAACGUACGCAGAUGAUGACAGCGUUAUUUUUCCAAAAGAUUAUAAUAUUCAAAAUAACAUCUCAUCAGAGAGAAACUACCUUCCAUCAAAGACCAUCAGAAUCCAAGGAAUCAUGCAGCCUGCACACCCCCUGCUUGUUCUCAGCAGUUUCUCUCUGGCAUGCCUCCGUGGACCCUGGACAAAUAGACCCUCAAAUCAGUGAGGCUGAUGAAUAAAGGCAAUUUGAAGCCUCUCUCCUCCAGGAUUAAAGACAGUUUCUAAAGUGCUUGCAGCAAGUCAGCUUAUGGUCAAAGUGCAAACCAAGAAGAAACAUCAGAUAUGGGUCACAAAGAUGAAUGAGGAAGAUUUGACUAUGUCAGUCAGAGUCUGCCUGGAAGACAGCUCAUGCCCAGAUGGUUUAUCAUCGGUGUCUAAUACAAAAGCAAGUUAAGGAGGUACUGGAAGGUCUGAAAACAAGGAAAGUGAAGCAAUCUAGACAUUGACGACUGCAGGAAGCUGUUAGGAGGUGCAAAGAUAAGGGAUACCAGGGUCCAGGAGCCGGGGCCUUUGAGGGCUGAUCUGCUUGGUGAGAACAGACUUCCAGGAGAGACAAAACACAUGCUGGAAAAGCCUGUGAACACAGAGGGGAGUUACUAAUACCGUGACUUCACCCCUCCUCCACCCACCCACUAAUUUCCUGUAAGUGUAUCCAUUGGCUGAACCUAACAGGAAGUGGUGGGUAAAGGCUUCUGGGAAGUGUAGUUUACAUUGUUAGCCCACUGUUCUACGGGGCAAGGAUGGGCUUCCUG